CUCCAGGCGUCGAGCGGCGGACGGGUGAGUAAUGCAUAGGAAUCUGCCCGGUAGUGGGGGAUAACCUGGGGAAACCCAGGCUAAUACCGCAUACGUCCUACGGGAGAAAGCAGGGGAUCUUCGGACCUUGCGCUAUCGGAUGAGCCUAUGUCGGAUUAGCUUGUUGGUGAGGUAAUGGCUCACCAAGGCGACGAUCCGUAGCUGGUCUGAGAGGAUGAUCAGCCACAUCGGGACUGAGACACGGCCCGAACUCCUACGGGAGGCAGCAGUGGGGAAUAUUGGACAAUGGGCGAAAGCCUGAUCCAGCCAUGCCGCGUGUGUGAAGAAGGCUUUCGGGUUGUAAAGCACUUUCAGUGAGGAAGAAGGCCUUGGGGCUAAUACCCCCGAGGAAGGACAUCACUCACAGAAGAAGCACCGGCUAACUCCGUGCCAGCAGCCGCGGUAAUACGGAGGGUGCGAGCGUUAAUCGGAAUUACUGGGCGUAAAGCGCGCGUAGGCGGCGUGAUAAGCCGGUUGUGAAAGCCCCGGGCUCAACCUGGGAACGGCAUCCGGAACUGUCAGGCUAGAGUGCAGGAGAGGAAGGUAGAAUUCCCGGUGUAGCGGUGAAAUGCGUAGAGAUCGGGAGGAAUACCAGUGGCGAAGGCGGCCUUCUGGACUGACACUGACGCUGAGGUGCGAAAGCGUGGGUAGCAAACAGGAUUAGAUACCCUGGUAGUCCACGCCGUAAACGAU
rnacentral:rRNA from 1 species